rnacentral:rRNA from 1 species
GACGAACGCUGGCGGCGUGCUUAACACAUGCAAGUCGAACGGAAAGGCCCUGCUUGCAGGGUACUCGAGUGGCGAACGGGUGAGUAACACGUGGGUGAUCUGCCCUGCACUUCGGGAUAAGCCUGGUAAACUGGGUCUAAUACCGGAUAGGAGCCAUUUUUAGUGUGAUGGUUGGAAAGUUUUUUCGGUGUAGGAUGAGCUCGCGGCCUAUCAGCUUGUUGGUGGGGUAAUGGCCUACCAAGGCGGCGACGGGUAGCCGGCCUGAGAGGGUGGACGGCCACAUUGGGACUGAGAUACGGCCCAGACUCCUACGGGAGGCAGCAGUGGGGAAUAUUGCACAAUGGGCGCAAGCCUGAUGCAGCGACGCCGCGUGGGGGAUGACGGCCUUCGGGUUGUAAACUCCUUUCGCUAGGGACGAAGCUUUUGUGACGGUACCUAGAUAAGAAGCACCGGCUAACUACGUG